rnacentral:misc_RNA from 1 species
AAGUCGUAACAAGGUUUCCGUAGGUGAACCUGCGGAAGGAUCAUUACUAAAGUAGAAAACUACUUGCCCAACCUGUGAACCGUCGAACCUCUUUCUGCCGAUAUCCCUUUUCGGGGGGGCGUCGGUAGUUAUGAGUUUGUUUAACUUAACCUAGACUAAAUACUUUUGACUAUUAGUAGUAUUUUAAACAAAUACAACUUUCAGCAACGGAUCUCUAGGCUCUU